rnacentral:rRNA from 1 species
ACACUCCUACGGGAGGCAGCAGUGGGGAAUAUUGCACAAUGGGCGCAAGCCUGAUGCAGCCAUGCCGCGUGUAUGAAGAAGGCCUUCGGGUUGUAAAGUACUUUCAGCUGGGAGGAAGGCGAUAAGGUUAAUAACCUUGUUGAUUGACGUUACCCGCAGAAGAAGCACCGGCUAACUCCGUGCCAGCAGCCGCGGUAAUACGGAGGGUGCAAGCGUUAAUCGGAAUUACUGGGCGUAAAGCGCACGCAGGCGGUCUGUCAAGUCGGAUGUGAAAUCCCCGGGCUCAACCUGGGAACUGCAUUCGAAACUGGCAGGCUAGAGUCUUGUAGAGGGGGGUAGAAUUCCAGGUGUAGCGGUGAAAUGCGUAGAGAUCUGGAGGAAUACCGGUGGCGAAGGCGGCCCCCUGGACAAAGACUGACGCUCAGGUGCGAAAGCGUGGGGAGCAAACAGGAUUAGAUACCCGUGUAGUCCC